rnacentral:rRNA from 1 species
AACGAACGCUGGCGGCAGGCUUAACACAUGCACGUCGAGCGCCCCGCAUGGGGAGCGGUAGACGGGUGAGUAACGCGUGGGUACCUACCCAACUCUACGGAAUAACGCAUGGAAAAGUGUGCUAAUACCGUAUACGUCGUUAGGGUGAAAGACUUAUCGGAGAUGGAUGAGCCCGCGUUGGAUGAGCUAGUUGGUGGGGUAAAGGCCUACCAAGGCGACGAUCCAUAGCUCGUCUGAGAGGAUGAUCAGCCACACUGGGACUGAGACACGGCCCAGACUCCUACGGGAGGCAGCAGUGGGGAAUAUUGGACAAUGGGCGCAAGCCUGAUCCAGCCAUGCCGCGUGAGUGAUGAAGGCCCUAGGGUUGUAAAGCUCUUUCACCGGUGAAGAUAAUGACGGUAACCGGAGAAGAAGCCCCGGCUAACUUCGUGCCAGCCGCCGCAGUAACAC